AUUGAACGCUGGCGGCAGGCCUAACACAUGCAAGUCGGGCGAGCGGCGUAAGGGUGAGUAAUGUAUCUGCCUCUUCCUGGUGGAUGGGGUUCGCUACUGGAAACGGUAGCUAAUACCGCAUUCCAUCAGCUGACCCCAUAUGGGAUUAGCGUGUGGGUGAGGUAAAGGCUGACCUAGGCGACGAUCCGUAGCUGGUCUGAGAGGAUGAUCAGCCACACUGUGACUGAGACACGGCCCAGACUCCUACGGGAGGCAGCAGUGGGGAAUAUUGGACAAUGGGCGCAAGCCUGAUGCAGCCAUGCCGCGUGUAUGAAGAAGGCCUUCGGGUUGUAAAGUACUUUAAGUCGGGAGGCGUUACCGACAGAAGAAGCACCGGCUAACUACGUGCCAGCAGCCGCGGUAAUUC
rnacentral:rRNA from 1 species